rnacentral:rRNA from 1 species
GACGAACGCUGGCGGCGUGCUUAACACAUGCAAGUCGAACGGAAAGGCCCCUUUGGGGGUACUCGAGUGGCGAACGGGUGAGUAACACGUGAGUAACCUGCCCUCGACUUCGGGAUAACUUCAGGAAACUGGGGCUAAUACCGGAUAGGAAUCCUUGCUGCAUGGAGGGGGUUGGAAAGCUUCGGCGGUUUUGGAUGGACUCGCGGCUUAUUAGCUUGGUGGUGGGGUAGUGGCUUACCAAGGCUUUGACGGGUAGCCGGCCUGAGAGGGCGACCGGCCAAAUUGGGGCUGGGGUACGGCCCAGACUCCUACGGGGGGCAGCAGUGGGGAAUAUUGCACAAUGGGCGGAAGGCUGAUGCAGCAAAGCCGCGUGCGGGAUGACGGCCUUCGGGUUGUAAACCGCUUUCAGCAGGGGAGGAGCUUGUGGUGACGGUACCUGCAGAAGAAGCACCGGCUAACUACGUG